rnacentral:lncRNA from 1 species
CCGGAUAUGCUUCCGCUGGUACCCGGGCGUAACAAGAAGCAUACAAAAUGGCUUGUACGAGGGCAAGCAAUAGCCAAAGUGAAAGAACUAAUUAAUAACAACAAGUAAUAUGAUUAACUUUAAAUCACAUACAUGUGAUACCAUUUUGAUCAAGUUCUUUUACAUCCUUUUUAUCAUUUCUUUUUACAUCACAAAUUCUCCAAAAUGAACCUUUGCAUUAAACAUCAUAAGAUAUCUUUAAUAUAUAUGUUCUAACCUCCCUAAUCAUCAUCAAAAUACAAAAGAUGGUAAAUAAGUAAAGGGUAUGCAACUACAAAAAGUAAGGUAUCUCGAGCGAUCUCUGUCUAGGGCACGAUACCCUUACCGCUGUCAUCUGCCGGCUCGCUCGGUCCCAGCUCUAUGGAAAUAGGGGUGUGAGAACUACAACAAAGUUUCCAGUGGGUUCGGCAAUCAACCACGCCGACUUUCCCACUAGGUCUAAAUCAGGCAUAAUAGAAGAAUAAGGGAUUAGUAACCAAACUAAAGCAAAUGCAGCUAAUAUGUCUGAACUAUAAUCAUGCUAUGCUUAAUAUAAUGCUCAUGAUGAAUGCAAGUUUAUUAAUUCCAUAACCUAAUCUCAUGGCUAGCCCGUAGGUUUCGCCCUUACAAGCUCACAAACCCAAAUCCCUACCAUUGGGGAGAAUUCCGCUACGACCCGACGGGACCGUCCUCUGGGGAGAAUUCCGCUACGACCCAGUGAUGUCAACUCCGGAGCACAUCGCCCGAGGGGGAGCUACCACCCUCGAGCAAGGACUAUUAGGUGAGUACGAUCAAUCCUUAACUUUAAGGAUUCCAAGUUCAAUCCAUUCCUUGACUUCAAGGAAACCAUGCUCAUAUGACCCUUAACUUUAAGGUUUAUAUGUCAUAUUGUCACUAUCUCUAUUCGCUUGUAUUCUUUAACCUUUACUAGUGUCAUGUACACUAUUUGAUCUUUGUUCUCAUACCAAGAUAUCACACUUGUUUUCUAGUGUUCGAGACUAGUUGAUGUCACUAUCUACAUUUAUGUCCAUAUGUUACAUUUGUUUUCUAAGUCCACUAGUUCUUGUCCAAUACCAUGCAUACAUAGGGUUAAACAAUACCAUGUUCUUAUACUAUUAUUACUCAUGCAUUCGUGUUCAUAUUAUUCAAAUAUUUGCUCAUAAGUAAUCCUACUAUACAAUAUGCUCAAUAUAUAUACAUGCUCAAAUAUGACACUUUAGACAUAGAAGGAAAUUCGAGGUCUUCGGUAUGCACCACCCACCUUAGAUGGUUGCAAGAAGGUUAGAUGAAUUUCUUGGGAUUUUUGAAGCCCUAUUCCGCGUGCUGCUGCUAUCUGUACGAAAAAUGACGUUUUCGUCAAUAACUUUGUGUUCACUCGUCGGAUCAUCGAAUCGAACGUUCCAACGCGUUCGUUUGAUUCCCAAUUAGGUUUCUAUAAGGUCAAUUCGCCUUAAAAACACUCUAGGGCAAAAGCCUCAAAUUUGGUGCCCUAAUAAUGCCAUAUGCUAAACCCUAGGUUUUGAUCUCUUGUACAAGCAAAAGAGAGCUUGUCUAACCUCUAGGAGCUCAUCUAAGGCCAACUAAGCCAUUUCUAGGGCAUCCAAAAUGAACCCUAGAAGUUCACCAUGAGAGAAUAUUGAGCUUCCAUGGAUUUUCAUGGAGUUCAAACCUCUUGAGGAGUUUUAAACAUAAGAGAAGCUCCAAAACCUAAGUUCCUUGGUAGAAAUCCAAACCCUAGUUGAGCUUUUGCAUAAAAUUCACCUUGGCCCAAAGCUCUCCAAUGUCCUUCUUGUUGGAGAGAUCCCAAACCCUCAAAGUCUCCAAAUCCACCUUCAAAAGCCUUCUCCACUCCUUCUCUUGCUCUUGGGGAAGAGUUCUAGAGAGAGAAAGAGAAAAAUGAGAGGGAAGGUGUGUGUUGGCUGUGGGAGAGGGAGAGAGGGUGUGUUUGGGUGUUAACAUGUUGCUACAAUUGCAACUAGGCCCCUCACUUCUUUCCAUGUGCAACAGAUCAUCCCUGCUGCCAGAGCCAAAGUGUACCGGUACACGGGCAUUUGUACUGGUACACUUUUGCGCAGAGGUCAAACUCGAGAGUUGUUCUCUCGGUUUCGCAACAUUUGUACUGGUACACUUUGGAUUUGUACCGGUACACUUUUGUGCAGACUCAAACCCGAGAGCUGUUAUCUCUCGGUCUGCUGGUUGUACCGAUACCGCUUGAUGGUUGUACCGGUACACUUUGCCCAAACUGGAGUUUUUGCACCGUUUCGAUUCUUUUUCGCGCCAAUCGAUGCUAAAAUCUUUCUAACCUCUCUUAAACUCGUUUCUAACCCUUCCAACACUGUCAGAAGGUUAAUUGGAACUCGUCCAAUUAAUUCUUUCGCACACUUUAAUCAAUUUGGCUGAAGUUCGAAAUUUCCUACCGAGUUUCGAUACGUUACACUAACCAUGCAGGUUCUAGUUCGUGCGAGGUGGUCGAGGAUCGUGACAGGGAUGGUGCGCUAUAGAUAGCGACAUCCAUUGAAUAUAGUUAUACCUUGUAUAUUUCAUCUGUUUAUAGUUGAUAAAAGAAAAUGUAAAUUAUUCAUUUGAGAGAUGACAAUGUAAAUAUUAAAGAAUGUGUGUAACAAUUGGUAAGCUUUGUAUUUGAUUGAAAGUAAUCAAGAUACAAUGUAUGAAUGGUUUAGUUAGUUACUUUCACUGUCUUGUGUUGCUUACCUUCGUGUAAGCCAUGUAUACUGAAAAUUUUUCUGGGCAUUUCAUUAUACAUGUUUAGUUGUUGUUGCUGAGCCUUAAACGAACAGAGGAGGUUCUGUUCGUUUGGCGUCUGUGUAUGGGCCCGACCUGACCAAAUUGGCAGUUUCGGAGCAUGACAGUUUGAAUUAAAAAUAUAAAUUAAAAAAAUCAUACAAAUAUAUAAUUUGAUGGUUUUUGUUGGACAUUUUGCAAUGAACUGAAAAAAAAAAACCAAGUGAAAUAUGUGAAAAGAUAUUAAUUUCAAAAAAAAUAAAUUGACCGUAGCACAUUAUCGCAAUGUUGUAGUUGUAGAUUGGGCCAUCUAUGGCCAACACUUUGAAUUAAUCAGAGCUGAAAGAAGCACGACAGCUAACUUAAGGAGAAGGAGGAAGAGAACUUGAACAAAGCUUUUGAAAUGACUUUCUCUAAACUCCAAAAGCUCAGUAAUUAUUGUGUGUGGUGUAGGAUUAUUGCCUAUAAGAAAAUGCAGAAUGUCAUUACCUAAGAGAUUUAUACAAAGAGAAAAAUUAUUACCUCUUGGGAAGGUGAAGAAGUUUCUUGGGAAGGUAAAAAGAUUUUGAAAAUGUGAGAAGAAUUAUUACCUUUAGAAAGGUGAAAAGGCUCUUUGAAAAGUAAUAAAAAUUAUUACAUUUUGGGAAAACAAAGAAAUCUCUUGGGAAGGUGAAAAGACUCAUUAGGAAUGUGAGAAGAAUUAUUAUCUUUGAAAAAAUGAAAAAACCUCUUGGAAAGGUGAGAAAAAUUACUACAGCUUGGAAAGGUGAAAAGACUUCUUGUGGAGGUGAAAAGGCAAAGAAAUAGUUAGAAAAGAGAGAGUCUUAACAAAGAUGUGAAAUUAAGAAGAGCCCGACACGUAAGCUCUCAAAAACCAUCAAAUUAUGUAUUUGUAUGGAUUUACUGUGAUGCUUGGAAUAAUCUGUCUACUCUUCUUUCUACUAACACACUAUUAAAUUGGGUCUACGCUCCUCUCAUUAAUGAUUGUAGAAUUUUAUUGUGGUUGCAUCCGAAUAUUAUUUUUUCCUAUGUUAGAAGAGAUCAAAAUAUAGAUGCUCAUAAUAUUACCAAUGCAACUUUACAAUUAUGUCCAUCUAUUGUCUAACCUUUUUUGUCAUUUUUGAUGUAUUUUUAAUUUGCUAAUAAAAUAGCCUACCGAUUUUCUCUUAAAAAAAAAAAGAGCUGUUUUCUCUCUAAAAAAAAAAAAAAAAAAGAGAGAGAGAAAAAAAAGAUAUGCAUGCAGACGCCCGUCCAUCAUUGUAUUGCCUAUGAUAGCUUCUAAAUUUUUUUUUGAAAAGUAAAAGAGUUAACCCAAGUACAUAAACUUUAAACUCUAAACCAUGAACCCUACAUCACAUUAACUUUAAUCAAUCAGUUGAUAAAUGACAAAUAUAAGAGUGAUGCUUCUAUACUUGGUUUUUUUCGAUAUUGUUCAUUCAUUUUUAUUCAAUGGCUCAAAUUUAAUUUUUUAAAAAAUAUUACCUAUAAUAGCAGGUCAUUUUGAAAGAGAUACUGAUUACUAUGUUCCCAAAGAGGAAUAUUUUGAUCUUUUAAUACGUAGGUAAUUUAGUAAUUUUACCUUUACUAUAUUAUCAAAUAUCUUUUCUUUUCAUUUCCUUUUUCUCUUUCUAUCUUUCCUCUUUAUCCACAGUGAAGGGGUUGGAUUCGGGGUGGAUUUUAAAAAAUCCGAACCCGAAUCCGACUAUCAAAUCCGAAACCUAAACCCAAACUCAAAUCCAACAAAUUUAAAAAAAAAUCAUAUCCACAUCCGCACCCAACUUAAAAUCCAAAACCCGAACUCUAGCUCUGAAUCUGAAAAUCCAAACCCGCAACAUUAUUCCUCUUUACAAUAUUUCAAAUAUAUUAAAUUAAAGUUAAAUUUUAAAAUACAUAUUCAAAUAUAACAUUAAACAUUUAUAUAUAUUAUAUAUUAUAAAUAAUGUAAAAUAAAUUCAGGUUCCGGUCAGUUUCAAGUUCAGAUCAGAUACAGUCAAAAUCCAUAUCGGAAUUCAAAUCUGUCGGGUUUUCGUUUUUGAUAUCCAUAUUCGAAAUUAUCUCCAUUUAACAUAGGUAAAUCUAUUGUGUUCGCUUUUGGGUUUGAGUUCGAGUUCGGAUAAAAUAGUAAUACAAAAUUUCUCUUAUUUAAAUUUAAAAUUUAAAUUUAAAUAUUAAAUAUUUAAAUUCAACAUAUUUAGAAAUAUUACUAUUUCUAAAAUUUCUAAAAUUUAAGAUUUGAUUGAUAUCCCAAAAUUUAGGCAUUAAUUUUUGCACUAAUUUAGGCAUUAUUUUAGAAACUUUAAUAAAGAUCUCAAUGAAAAGGGUUAGAGAGGAUAAAUGAAGAUAAAAUAAUUUAAUGUUGGGUGCAAUCCUUAUAACAUCUAAAAAGGAUAAUGGGCUAUAUACCCCUCAAUAUUUUUGAAGUACCUUAUGUAUUUCUAUUUUUUAUUUUAAAUAUACUCCUCUUAUAUUUUUGAAGACUAUUUAUUAAAUUUUGAAUUCAUAUCGUGAUUUAAAUGACCAACUGUAUCUAAUGCAGUUGACUAAAGGCUUGAAGGUUAGUACCGAGAUUUAAAGUUCAUUUUCUGUUGGUUUUCGCACUUAAUUUUAAUUGACUACCUAGGUGUUUGUUUGUUUUUAUUAAUUUUAUUGAUAAUCUAAAUGUCUUUUAGCUAAUAAUUUAUGAAUAAUAAUUACAACUUCGAGAUUUUGAGAUUGAGUUGAAUAUUGAUGAUGCUUUAGAAAAACUAAUUUUGUGAUGGGAGCAAAUUUAAUGUAUAAAAAUAGAUAUUUUAGGGCUUUUUUUGCAAAUAGCCCCCUGACAAAUUUUAUUUACAAAAAUAGCCCCGUCCAAAAAUUAUUUGCAAAAAUGGCCCUGCCCCUGCCACGCCAGCACCACGUCAGCGCCACGCGGGCAGGGCGGGCCCAGGUGUUUAAGUUGAACGCUGUGAACCAUUCACCGUAUUCAAUACAAAAUUUUUGUAUUGGACACGGUGAAUGAUUUACCGUGUCCAAUACAAAUACCCCAACAAUGACUAAGUUGGAGGUAUUUGUAUUAGACACGGUGAACCAUUCACCGUGUCCAAUUAUUUGUAUUGGACACGGUGAAUGGUUCACCGUGUCCAAUACAAAUAUUUCGAUCUUAACUAUUUUGUAUUGGACACGGUGAAUCAUUCACCGUGUCCAAUACAAAAACUUUGUAUUGAACACGGUGAAUGGUUCACCGUGUCCAAUACAAAAACUUUGUAUUGAACACGGUGAAUGGUUCACCGUGUUCAACUUAACCAUCUGGCCCAGCCCCGCCCGCGUGGCGCUGACGUGGCGCUUGCGUGGCGAGGCCAGGGUCAUUUUUGCAAAUAAAUUUUUGACAUGGCCAAUUUUAAAAAAAAAAUUUGUAAGGGGGCUAUUUGCAAAAAAAGCCCGAUAUUUUACUUUGUUUAGUAAAGUAAAAAUAUAUAUGCGCAAUAUCACCAAUGCAUAAGUGGGGCUCAACAUGGUAUUGUGCGUUGGGCUUGGGCCUUAUUUUUUUUCGGAGGGUUAAUUUUAUACAGGUCUCUGUAAAUAUAGUGAAUGAUAAAUAUAUCUCUAUAAAAUUCAACUUUCAUAUGUUGUUUCUGCAAAAGUCCUGAUAUCUUCAAAUAUAUCCCUCUGAUUUGUUAUCAUUAAAGAACUGAUAGAGAACUGUUUGUAUUUUUAAUUUUAUCAUCACAAAUAUGUUCCUCCAAAAACCAUAACGAUAUAAUAUAAAAGGAAAAAAAUAAAAACUAACGAGGAUUAAGUAUUAAUCUAUAGUUAACUAAAUUUUUUUAACGGAUUCUAAUGGCCGAGGUAUAUUUGAAAACAUCAAGAACAUAUAAAAGUUGAAUUUUGUAGAGAUAUAUUUGCUAUUUACUAUGUUGUCAGAAAUCAAUAUGAAAUUAACUUUUUUUUAAAAUAAACUGUUUUUAAAAAAAUAAUUGGGUACUUAGAAGGCCAAUCCGAAGCUCAAUAAUUUUUCGGGGCCAGGACCGACCGUCCCUAGAGCGAGUGGCAAAAGGCUUGAUGGUUGGUACCUGAGACCCAAGUUCGAAUCCUAAUUGAUUCAUAUUUUCAGCUAAAUUUAUUUCUAAAUAAAAUAAACGAAGCGGGUAACGUGCUAUCUAUCUCUCAAAAAAAAAAUUUUCGGGGCCAGGCUUGGACAUAAUGUCACUCCAUCUGAACCCCGCCCAAUUCCAAUCCUAAAUAUAAUAAUUCUUCUUUUUUUUUUCCUUGCCAAAUUGGAUGAUUAAAAUUAUUUAGGAUCAAACUUCAAACUUCAUCAAAGUUCACUAAUAAAAUUAUUUUUUAUUUUUAUUUAGUUUAGUUUAUUUAUGUCAUGAGUUGCAUGGACUCUUCACUAGUAAAUAUUAAAGACUUAAAAAAAUAAAAUAAAACAACAAUUAAGUUUAAAAAUUGCAUAAAGAUUGAGAAGUAACCACGAUACUAACCUUUAUUAGCUUUCGUUUUAGGAUACAUAUUAUAUAUUAGCGCAUAUUUGCUAUAUAUAUGAAAAGGGCAAUUGCUUAUAUCUCCAAGUAAGAUUUUUUACUUUUUUAUUUAUCUCUUUUAGAAAGUUAAUAUUAAAAAAUAUUUUUUUAACGUUCCAAUUUUUUUCAAAUAUAUCUUAGAGUUUGAUUCAACUGUUAGCAAUAACCGUUGUUCUGUGUAAUUACUAUUUUGUAAUUUCAAACUUAUCCUUUCACCAUCACCAAUUUUUUUUAUUCGCCUUUAUUUUUUCUUAGGUUAAAAGUAAAAAGAGAUAUUUUGACUACUUCUUUUAAAAUAUAUCCUUAUAAUAUCGUCACUAGUUUUUCUUAUUUAUCCUAAAAGCAGGAGAAUAAUAGAUAUUUUGAUUUUUUUAAAAGAAAUUAGAUAGAAAUUUAACUCAAGUCUAACCUGAGAUGACUUAAUGAUUACUAUUACUAACAAUAGAGAUGUGUUUGGGUCGUUCUUUUUUCACUUAGGAAUCGGCAUCGGAAUGGAUGAGUCGGCCAUUUGUAGGUCGGCCAUUUGUAGGUUUUUGGUACGUGAGAGUCCUAUUUCGAUUCCGAUUUUUGGGUGAAUGAGAAUUUCCCAAUCAUCCCUUUUUUUGGAUUGAAAGUUGAAUUUAGGUGAAAAGAAUGCACUUUAUGAAAAUAUCUCAAUUAUAUUAUAUAUUUUUUAUUUUUUAUUUUUUAUUUUUUAUUUAAAAUUUAAUUUAAUUUUUUCACUUUGAUUUUUAAUUAAAAUAUUAAAAGUUGGAAUUAGAAAUUAAAUUUUUAAUUCUAUAUUUUCAUUUAGAAAUUAAAUUUAAAAUAUAAUUUCAAUCAACUAUUUUGAAUUUGAUCUAUAAAUUUAAAUUUAAUUGUAAGUUUGAAUCUGAAUCAAAUGAAAAAUUAGUUUAAUAGUUUAUAUUGUCCACUCAAUUUUAAAAUUCAAAAUUUUCAAAUAUUACAUUUGAAAUAUUGGCUGAUCAUUUCAAUAUUUUGAUGUAAAUUUUUAAUAUUUAACUUUUAGUUUGAAUUUUAAUUAUAAAUUUAAACUAAACACGUUAUACGAGUAUUUUUAUAUAACCUAGAAAUAUACUGGGGGUAUAUUUGAGACAAAAAAUAUAAAAAUAUAAUAGAUAUUUUAGAAAUUUGAGAGAUAUAUAAAUAAUUAUUCCCUUGUAAAACAUAUAAUAAUAAUCCGGACACCCCUGGAAUUCGUUAGCUUUUUCAAAAUCAUUCGAAUUCAACCACUCCAUCGCAUGCAACUAAAUUAAAAUUCCAAACGAAAAUAAAAAUAAAAAUAAAAAUAAAAAUAAAAUCAAGAAACCUCUUGAUCCCUUGCUGUGUCUCGUGCUCAUACAAUAAUAAUACAUAACAUUUUUGUGCUUCCAAUAUGCUGUGUGUUGGGACUUAGGAUUGUCCUGCAUGUGCUAUUAACAAAAAUACACGAACAAAGAAAUAUAAAAAAAUAAUAGAAAGGACAGAAAAAAGAGACAGCGAUUUACGUGAUUCGGCAAGUGGUCUACGUCCACGGGGAGAGCGAGAGAGAUGUAUCCUUUAUAUGAAGAAAACAAAAAAUACAAGCUCACACCUUUAUAUUUCUCUCAAUCUAAUACAAGAGCCUUAUGAUUACUAUCAUCCUUCUCUUGUUACAACAAAUAAGAGAAACUCAACAAGCUACUAAUUAAAUUUUUAGGCUUCUCCUAAUACCUCACUUAAUUCACUCGUUGCUUGUGCUUCAUCUUGUUGUGCCUUUAUCUAUGGAGAUGGAGGCCUUUUAUAGCCAUGAAUGCAGUUGCACAACUGAAGUUUGCAUCUUCAAUUGUCAAUUUGCCAUAAAUAGCCUAUAUAUAGGCUUUUUGACAUUCAUGGCAACAUGUGUUUCAUGCAUGCAUGCAUGAACAUGCAUGAAACACAGCAUAUUACUUCUCUGUCCAAUGAAAACCCUUUAUUCGUACUUUAAAUAGUUCAGUAGAACCGGUGCGCCAUGAACCAACUUUCAUAUCCAUGUCUCUUUUGCAUAUUAGUCCAAAAAAUCUUAUGGGCCAAAUAAAUAAUUUUAUGCCCUAUACAAAAGAAGACAUAUAACCAACAAUCUCCACCUUGGCUUCUUUUGUUCUUCAUUUAGUCUAUCUCAUCUUAAUGCUCUCUCUCCCUAGAGCUUCCAGCCAUCAGCAAUACUGCAAAUUUGCCAAGUUUAGGCAAUGCCUAAACUUUUCAGAUGUUACCGGCUUUGUCAUGAUGUCGGCUAUAUUCACUACAACAAAAACGGUCUAUAGCGACACUUUUAAAUGUAGCUACAUGUCAAAAAAGUGCUGCUAACUAAAAUUACCGACACUUUUGAAAAGUGUUGCUAUAUGUGGGGUCGCUAGGUAUAUAGUGACAGUUAAAGAGUGUCGCUAUAACCUAAAAGAGUGCUGCUAAUUUUACCAACACUUAUUUAAAUAUUUAGCAACCGUCGAAACUCUAUCUCGUUAGCUACGGUGGCGGAGGAGAACGACAGGAAAGGCUCUUCAUCUAGAAUUUCAGUGGAUUGAGUGAAGAGAGAAGAAAAAAUGAAAAUUGAUUUUUCUAUUUUUUUUCUUUUCUGUUUGUAAUCGGGCCAAAUAGACUGGGUGUGGUGGGUUGAGUAGAGUAAUAUUUUAUUUUUGGUUGGAUUGGGUUUUAUAUUUAGGCAUUAGUAGAUGUUUUUUUUAAGUUUUAGCAUAAAUGGGAUACUUACUCAAAAGUGUCCCAAACAUGUGUCCCUAUAACCUAAUUCUGUUAUAGUGAUUGUCCUUUGUAGAUACCUUUAUAAGUUGAAUUUCUCCAUCAUCUUCAUUUGUGAACUCUCUUAAUUUGUGAUACCUUAUGUCUAUAUGCUUAGUCCUUGCAUGGUACACCUAAUUUUUAGCAAGACAAAUAGCACUUUGACUAUCACAAAAUAUGUUUACCUUAUCGUGUAUGAUUCCGAAUUCACCUGCCAAGCCUUUGAGCCAGACUGCUUCCUUAGCUGCUUCAAUUGCUGUCAUAUAUUCCGCCUCUGUAGUUGACAAGGCUACAGUGCGCUGCAAUGUGGACUUUCAACUAAUAGAUCAACCACUCAGCAAAAAAAGUGUAACCUGUAAUAGAUCUUCUCCUGUCUAAAUCUCCAGCAUAGUCGGAAUCCACAUACCCUCUUACUUCAACAAUUCUAGAUUCUCUAGUAUAGAGAAUUCCUACAUCAGCUGUGCCUUUUAAAUACCGCAAGAUCCAUUUCACUGCCUCCCAGUGUUGCUUUCCUGGAUUCGACAUAUAUCGACUAACAACACUAACUGCAUGUGAAAUGUCAAGUCUAGUACAAAUCAUAGCAUACAUUAAACAACCAACUGUACUAGCAUAUAGUAUCUUUGCCAUACAAUUUACCUCUUGCUCAGUUUUUGAGCACAUCUCCUCUGAUAGCUUGAAGUGUUGGACUAACGGAGACUUGACCGCCUUUACAUCUGACAUAUUGAAUUGCUUUACAAUUUUCUUUAUAUAUGUCUUUUGAGAUAGCCGGAGCUUCCCUUGUUUGCGGUCUCUUCUGAUCUCCAUACCUAGAAUUUUCUUGGCACUUCCUAGGUCCUUCAUGUCAAAUUCUUGGCUCAACAGUUCCUUUAACUUUUGCACUUUUAUUGAAUCUUUUGCUGCAACCAACAUAUCAUCUACAUAAAGCAUUAGCAGAAUAAAAGAACUAUUAUUAAGUUUACGAUAAUACACACAACUGUCAAACAAACUUCUACUAUAUCCAUGUUUGAUCAUAAACCCAUCAAAUCUUUUAUACGACUGUCUUGGUGCCUGUUUCAGUCCAUAUAGAGACCUUUUUAGUUUACACACGAGCUUCUCUUUUCCAGACUGAAGGAAGCCUUGUGGUUGUUCCAUAUAUAUUUCUUCUUCGAGGUCCCCAUGAAGAAAUGCAAUUCUAACAUCGAGCUGCUGUAGCUCUAAGUCAAACAUGGCCACCAUAGCUAGAAGUAUCCUGAUAGACACGUGCUUCACUACAGGUAAGAAGAUUUCAUUGAAAUCAACUCCUUGUUUCUGCGCAUAGCCCUUGGCCACCAAACACGCCUUAAACUUAACUGGUUCACCAUCUGCACUUUGCUUUCUCUUGUAGAUCCAUUUACAUCCAAUGGCUCUCUUUUCCUUAGGCAAUGGAACCAGAUCCCAUGUCUGAUUCUUGCUCAGAGAUUCCAUCUCUUCUAUCAUAGCAGCCAUCCAAUUGCCACUCUCCUUAUCCUGCAUCACCUCCUCAAAAGAAGAAGAAUCAUCUGAAGUAAUUAAUAAAGCAUAAGUUGCAAAAUCAUCCGGACUGUACCUUAAUGGUGGACAAAUUUGUCUUCUUUCUCUUCCUUUGGCGAUAGAGUAGGGCUCCUCUGAAGUGCUCUCAUUUGGAUCAACUGAUGUCUUAUAAUCUUCUUCAUGGUGUGACUGCUCCACCUGAUUAUGUAAACGCUCCUGCUGCUCCACCUGAAUGUCUGUAGUCUUCGCACUCUCUUCAUGUUGAGCCUGCUGCUGGAUUUUUUGCAACAUUAAUUUUUCAUCAAAGACCACAUCCUGCUAAUCACCUUCUUCUUGGCAACGGGGUCCCAAAGCUUGUAUCCAUUCACCCCCUUCUCAAACCCAAAAAAUAUGCAGGGUUUUGACUUUGAAUCUAACUUCGUGCGUUGAUUUUUCUGAACAUGAACAUAAGCAGGACAACCAAAGACACGUAAUGAGGAAUAAUCUGUAAGUUUACCUGACCAUAAUUCCUCUGGUGUUUUGAGUUCGAUUGCUGUGGAAGGGGAUCUAUUAAUAAUGUAGCACGCCAUAUCCACUGCUUCGGCCCAAAACUCUUUUGGCAAAUUUGCACAUAUCCUCAUAGAUCGGGUCUUUUCUAACAGUGUCCUGUUCAUCCUUUCUGCUACUCCAUUCUGCUGUGGAGUUUCAGGAACUGUCAGAUGGCGUGUAAUGCCUUCUUCCUUCCAGAAACUAAUAAACUCCUUAGAAGUGAACUCUCCACCAUUGUCUGUUCUUAGAUGCUUGACCUGCUUCCUUGUCUGUUUCUCCAUCUCUUUCUUUCAAUGUCUGGGCUUUAUGAAGGCUUCAGACUUUUCCUUCAUGAAGAAAACCCAAACUUUACGAGAAAAAUUAUCAAUAAAUGUUACAAAAUACCGUGCACCUCCUUUUGAAGCUUUUGGAGUAGGCCCCCACACGUCUGAAUGGAUGUAUUUAAGUAUGUCUUUACUUCUAUGACCGGAGGACCUGAAACUCACCCAUUUCUGUUUUCCAAAUACACAGUAUUUACAGAAAUUGAGUUUGCAGGUUUUCAUACCUUUGAAUACUCCUCUUUUAUGCAGCUCCAACAUCCAUUUCUCACUCAUGUGGGCUAAUCUCAUGUGCCAAAGUUCUGCAUCAUCGGCAUCAUGAUCAUCUGAGGAUGUCACUGCAACACCUCCAAUCACCGACUCGCCGAUCAACCUGUAUAGGUUUCCUUUUUUCUCUCCUUUCAUGACAGUCAUGGCACCUCUUUUUACCUUGAUGACUCCAUCUGCAAUAGUAGUACUGCAACCAAUAAAGUCAAGAGCUCCAAGUGAUAUUAGAUUUAAUCUGAGACCUGGAACAUGUCUCACAUCUGUCAAACUUCUUAUCAUGUUAUCAUGCAUCUUUAUUUUUACCGUUCCUACACCAACAACUUUGCAAGUAGUGUGAUUAUCCAUCAUAACACUUCCACUUUCACAAGAUUUGUAGAAAUCAAAUAAAGAUUUAGUUGGUGUCAUAUGAUAAGAACAAUCCGAAUCUAAUAUCCAGUCAGCAAGAGAUUCAAUACCUGAAGAAACCGUCAAAACAUCAUGAUUUUGAUCAGGAUCAUUAGCUACGCUUACUGUACCUGAAGAGGAAUUCUUCUUUUGCAGCCAUGCCUUUCUCCUCUCACAGUCUUGCUUCAUGUGGCCAUCUUUUUUGCAAAAAUAACACUUCACCUUUUUUAACCUUGACUUAGAACGAAAUCUUCCUUUAUCUGAAUCACGUUCUUUAUGCCGCCCCCUUCCUACAUCUUUAAUAAUUAAACCUUUACUUGGCUCCUCUGAAAUGGAUUGCUUUCUGAUCUCUUCUGAUAGAAGGGCUGAUGUAACGUCUUCCAUUGAAAAAGUUUGCUUUCCAUAAAGAAUGGUUGUAACCAGAUAAUUAUAGGAAGGAGGAAGCGAUGUGAGCAAAAUCAAUGCCUUGUCGUUCUCGUCAAGCUUCACAUCUACACUAAGUAGAUCACUAAUAAUUUUAUUAAAAAUAUUUAAGUGUUCAGCAACUGCCGUACCUUUCUUCAUGCAUAGCCCAUAUAAUUUUUGCUUUAGGUACAACAUAUUAGAAAGGCUCUUUGUCAUGUAUAGCUUCUCCAAUUUGGUCCACAUGCCAACAGUUUUUUCUUCGUCCUUGACAUUAUACAUCACCUCAUCUGCCAGACACAAUAUGAUGGUAUUAAGUGCCUUCAGAUCAAGCUCUUCCCAGUCUUCAUCGCUCAUUGUUGCUAAUUUUUGAGACUUUCCCAGCAACGCCUUAUGAAGACCUUGUUGUACUAAAAUGGCCUUCACUCUUCUUUGCCAAAGACCAAAAUUUCAUUUUCCAUCAAAUUUCUCCACCUCGAACUUGGACAUCGAGACAUUCGGCAUUUUUGUUGUAGCUCCGACCCGUCGCUCUGAUACCAAUUGUUGGGACUUAGGAUCGUCCUGCAUGUGCUAUCAACAAAAAUACACGAACAAAGAAAUAGGAAAAAAUAAUAGAAAGAAAAUACACAGAAAAAAGAGACAGCAAUUUACGUGGUUCGGCAAGUGGCCUACGUCCACGGGGAGAGCGAGAGAGAUGUAUCCUUUAUAUGAAGAAAACAAAAAAUACAAGCCCACACAUUUAUAUUUCUCUCAAUCUAAUACAAGAGCCUUAUGGUUACUACCACCCUUCUCUUGUUACAACAAAUAAGAGAAACUCAACAAGCUACUAAUUAAGUUUCCAGGCUUCUCCUAAUACCUCACUUAAUUCACUCGUUGCUUGUGCUUCAUCUUGUUGUGCCUUUAUCUGUGGAGAUGGAGGCCUUUUAUAGCCAUGAAUGCAGUUGCACAAUUGAAGUUUGCAUCUUCAAUUGUCAACUUGCCAUAAAUAGCCUAUAUAUAGGCUUUUUGACAUUCAUGGCAACAUGUGUUUCAUGCAUGCAUGCAUGAAACAUAGCAUAUUACUUCUCUGUCCAAUGAAAGCCCUUUAUUCAUACUUUAAAUAGUUCGGUAGACCCUGUUGGCUUAAAUGGGCCAGCAUCCUGCCCUGUGGCCGGAGGCCAUGUGGGCCGAGUCAUGUUCGAAAUGGCGUGAGGCUGGGUUGGGCCGAGUCAUGUUCGAAGUGGCGUGAGGCCAGGUGGGCCGAGUCACAAUCGAGACCCGUGGGCGCUGUUUCUGUACGCUUUAAGUGAAUUGGUUGCGUAUUUCUAACAGCUCGAGCUUUUGGGAUUAAUGGUUAGCGCCAACGAUCCGACAGACCCGGUGCACCAUGAACCAACUUUCAUAUCCAUGUCUCUUUUGCAUAUUAGUCCAAAAAACCUUAUGGGCCAAAUAAAUAAUUUUAUGCCCUAUACAAAAGAAGACAUAUAACCAACACUGUGCUCCUCAUCCUCUAAAGGCGGCAGCCGCCGCGGCCGCCGCGACUGGGCGGCCCUGCAAGACGACGUGCUCUUCUGCGUUGCCGGCAAGCUGACUAUCUUCGACUACGUGACCUUCCGGGCAGUCUGCCGCUCCUGGCUCGCCGCCAUCCCGGAGAUCCCCCUGCAGGCCCCCCACUCCCCCAAUAUAUUCCUGAAGAAUUUUUGACUUUUUUAUUUACCCCUCUUAGAAAGGUGAUAUUAAAAAUGUCUUUUUAACAUUCCAAACUUUCAAAUAUACUCCUAUAGUGAACAACCAUUAUCUCUGUAAAAUUUUUUUUUUGUCCUUUCAAGUAUAUCCUUUUAUAGUCGUCAACUUUUCUUAUUUACUCUUAAAGUAAGGGCAAAAAGAAGUAUUUUGACUGACUUCUUUCCUCUCAAUAUACUCUUCUACCGUCAGCAAAUUUUCUUAUUUAUACUUAAGUUAGGGGCAAAAGAGAUAUUUUGAUUUUUUUUUUAAACUCUAAUAGAAUUUUAACCCAGAUUUAACCCACGAUGACUUAAUGGGUACCAACAAUUUGGAUAUUUUUGAAGUACGGAGAAAUAUAAAAAGAGUAUAUUUGAAAUAAAAAAUUAAAAAUAAAUAAGAUAUUUCAGAAAUUGAGGGUUAUACAGCCAAUUAUCCUUUUUAGAUAAUAUCAGGAUUGCACCGGACAUUAAAUUAUCUUCGUUAAUCCUCUCUAAACCUUAUCUUACUAUGAUUCGAUCCACUCAUGCGCAAUCUAAGUUUAAAGGCGUUGCAUACCAAUACAUACAAACUUUUUUUUUCUUUUUUUGAGAGAGAGGUAGCACGCUAUCUACUUCGUUUAUUUCAUUUAGAAAUAAAUUUAGUUGUAAAUGUGAAUCAACAAGGAUUCGAACGUGGGACCUCAGAUACCAACCACCGAGCCCUUUGCUACUUGCUCAAGGGACGGUCGGUACCUCUACAUACAAACUUAGAUCUCAUUUAGGCUGGCAUAUAUGUAGUAUCAAUGUUUUCUUCCUGCCGUAGUCUAAUGUCGUGCUCCUCCUCAUCCUCCAGCAGAGCCGGCUGGCCUUCAGCAUGAUAUGCUGUUUUGCAUCGCCAGCAAGCUGACAACCAUCGACUUCUUGAACUUUCAGAGAGUCAGCCACUCCCAGUUCUCC